AAAACGUAAAGUUUUCCGAUCAAAACGCUCGCUACAAAACUCGUAAACAACUUGUUUUCGCGGCGUGGAGUAACGCUUGAAUGCAAAUGGUAAUAUCAGUAACUAGUUAAUAAGUAAAGAUUAAUGUUAAGCGGUGCAUGGUUAGCAUAUAUUAAGGUUAAUACUACAUAACUAAAAUAAGACGAUCCCACUCAGAAGUGCCUGAUGAUAGAAUUUUGAAAUCAGAAGCGGAGACUGGGUGUUUGUGCAUGUGUUUGUGAACGAGUAUACUAGACAUGGUUGAGAUAGAGCGUUCUUUUCCAGUCAAAGGCGAGACUCCCAUAUGCUCUAAGAUACGUGUGUGAAUGUGUCGGCGUGUUUGGCCAACAUACAAUGCGCUACAGCAUUGACACGUGAACUGAUACACAACAACAACACAACAACAACACAACACAACACAACACAACACAACACAACACAACACAACACAACUUGCGGAGUGUCAAUUGCUUUUGACAGUUUUGGGUUUAAUUAUACUGUAAAAACUCUAUGGCAACCGUAAUUUUUAGACAGUGGCAUCGUGU